rnacentral:rRNA from 1 species
AUUGAACGCUGGCGGCAGGCCUAACACAUGCAAGUCGAACGGUAACAGGAAGAAGCUUGCUUCUUUGCUGACGAGUGGCGGACGGGUGAGUAAUGUCUGGGAAACUGCCUGAUAGAGGGGGAUAACUACUGGAAACGGUAGCUAAUACCGCAUAACGUCGCAAGACCAAAGAGGGGGACCUUCGGGCCUCUUGCCAUCGGAUGUGCCCAGAUGGGAUUAGCUAGUAGGUGGGGUAACGGCUCACCUAGGCGACGAUCCCUAGCUGGUCUGAGAGGAUGACCAGCCACACUGGGACUGAGACACGGUCCAGACUCCUACGGGAGGCAGCAGUGGGGAAUAUUGCACAAUGGGCGCAAGCCUGAUGCAGCCAUGCCGCGUGUAUGAAGAAGGCCUUCGGGUUGUAAAGUACUUUCAGCGGGGAGGAAGGGAGUAAAGUUAAUACCUUUGCUCAUUGACGUUACCCGCAGAAGAAGCACCGGCUAACUCCGUG